AGCACCCUUUGGGUGUGACUGCGUACCUUUUGUAUAAUGGGUCAGCGACUUAUAUUCUGUAGCAAGGUUAACCGAAUAGGGGAGCCGGAGGGAAACCGAGUCUUAACCGGGCGUUAAGUUGCAGGGUAUAGACCCGAAACCCGGUGAUCUAGCCAUGGGCAGGUUGAAGGUUGGGUAACACUAACUGGAGGACCGAACCGACUAAUGUUGAAAAAUUAGCGGAUGACCUGUGGCUGGGGGUGAAAGGCCAAUCAAACCGGGAGAUAGCUGGUUCUCCCCGAAAGCUAUUUAGGUAGCGCCUCGUGAAUUCAUCUCCGGGGGUAGAGCACUGUUUCGGCUAGGGGGCCAUCCCGGCUUACCAACCCGAUGCAAACUGCGAAUACCGGAGAAUGUUAUCACGGGAGACACACGGCGGGUGCUAACGUCCGUCGUGAAGAGGGAAACAACCCAGACCGCCAGCUAAGGUCCCAAAGUCAUGGUUAAGUGGGAAACGAUGUGGGAAGGCCCAGACAGCCAGGAUGUUGGCUUAGAAGCAGCCAUCAUUUAAAGAAAGCGUAAUAGCUCACUGGUCGAGUCGGCCUGCGCGGAAGAUGUAACGGGGCUAAACCAUGCACCGAAGCUGCGGCAGCGACACUGUGUGUUGUUGGGUAGGGGAGCGUUCUGUAAGCCUGUGAAGGUGUGUCGUGAGGCAUGCUGGAGGUAUCAGAAGUGCGAAUGCUGACAUAAGUAACGAUAAAGCGGGUGAAAAGCCCGCUCGCCGGAAGACCAAGGGUUCCUGUCCAACGUUAAUCGGGGCAGGGUGAGUCGACCCCUAAGGCGAGGCCGAAAGGCGUAGUCGAUGGGAAACGGGUUAAUAUUCCCGUACUUGGUGUUACUGCGAAGGGGGGACGGAGAAGGCUAUGUUGGCCGGG
rnacentral:rRNA from 1 species